GUUGUGGAGACGUGAUCUAAUUAUUAGAGGAUAAUGGCUUCAUCCUUCUAGGAUUUGUUGAGAUUGCAAAUCUCAUUGAGUGGAGGAGCAGAGCUGGGAAGCAGUUGGCUGUUUGUUGCCUAGCAAGCGGAAGACUCCAGAACUCCUUCAAUACGGUCAUAAAAGUCCAGGUGGCAAUGGCUUAGUGAUCGCUUUAGCACUCCUCAAUGAGGAUAUAUGUCGGGUUGCAAGCACCACAAUGGAUCAAUCAUCUUUGGAUGUAUAAGUUGCCCCCUACUUCUGAGGUUGAGAC
rnacentral:lncRNA from 1 species